rnacentral:snRNA from 1 species
AUCUCUUCUCGGCCUUUUGGCUAAGAUCAAGUGUAGUAAAGAUAUGCUUUUAAAUAGGCUGAGUGCAAUUUUUGUUUAGAAAAAAUAUUUUGCAUAUUGUACAUUUU